UCCUGGUUGACUUAUCCUCGUCAUUUCAUCUUCUUCUCCCUCAGUUUUUUUUCCAACGCCGCCGCCGCCGCCGCCGCCUGAAAUGGAGAAAAUACAGGAGGAUUACUGGAUCUUAACGUACGCCUAUCAAAUCACAAAAACCAACUGCACCAUUAGUCACAUCGCAACGGAGAAAUAUGCUUGUAAAGCCAAAUGGAAAUUCAUCAGAUGAUAUCGAAGAAGAUGUGAGAAGACAAGUACAGAUCGUUUCACUGGAAAUACAAUUUAAUUUAAAUCUGUGUUUACGAAGAAGAUCGUGUGAGAUGUGAAGCUCAAUCUGAUAAUUCAGAUGAAUUCUUAGAAUUAUCAAAUUUGAUUGGUAGUGUGAAGAUUCUCCACCUAAAAGACUACUGAUUUUUGGAUUGUCAGGGGAAGUAUUUAAAUACUUUGAAUUGAUGGUAGUACAUAUUAUGUGGCUCCUGAAGUUUUUUGACGGCAUGACGGAGCAGAAGCUGGUAUCUGGAGUGUUGAUGUGAUACUGUACAUUCUUCUUAGUGGAGUCCCAGCCACAUGGCAGUGUCACGCCUUGGUUAUGAAUUAUGGGAAACCAACACAGUGAUUUCCAGUUUCAGCAGGGAAUAAAAUACUUAGCUUAUUUGUGUUGUUGAAAACGGUGCUCAAGUUGGUGCAAAUAUCUUAUCUUACCUGGGAAUCCUUUUGAACCAACCAAGAGCACUUGAUGAACUUAUUCCACACUGGAAACAACAACAGAUCAUUCUACUCUUCUUCAUACCAUGUUUUGUAAAAUAUAUCUUAUAUUACAUAUGAAUGUAACCUUAGGCCAAAUUACAAUCAUUUGUCCUAGGAUCUCUACAGAAUUGUCUUUUAAGCCUACUCGCCAUAUAGCUCCCUAAAGGUUUUAGAUGUUAUCAAUCAAAAUCCCCCUAGAUUUGCCCCUUUUUUGCCGCCACCCAGUGAGACUUUUUUUUGGGGGGGGGGGGGGGGGGGUCCUUUUGCAUCUUCAGUCCUGGCUCCAUCCCUGAUCUUGGAAGAUAUCAUGUGGGCAUAGGUGCAGCUUUCUUUUAAAAGUUCCCAUAUGGUGAUAUACACAAAUAACUAUGAGCAGCACUUCUGUUUUAUUUUUUUGGUGCAGUUUUAAUUUCUGACACUGACAUUACCUUUUACCUUGUUUCUUCUAGUAUUGUUGUUAAAGGAGUUGUUUGUAAGAAAAAUGUUUCCAACCGGCAGUUGACUUCAAACAUUGAGAAGCCCUGUUUUCUUAUCCUUGACGGAGCUUUUGAGUAUCAAUGGGUGUCUAAUCAUCUAUCAAGUUUUGAUACUCUAUUGCAGCAGAUCUUUCUCUACAAUUUUUAAAGAGUAGAUAAAGCGGUUGGGUAAAAUGUUCGGGAAUAUGUUCGCUUGCUUUCGAUAUGCAUCGGUUGAUGUUCACUCAGUAUACCUUCCACCCUCAAAACUUGAUUUCAGCUACGGGAAUCCAGAAUGGUUACUGAAAGAGGUCGAUCAGGUGGUCGACAGGGCAGAAAUUCUGUUUACUGGAGUACUUAAUGCUCCCCGGCAGAUUGCAAUAAAAAGAAUAGGCACCAUAUCAGUAACAGUAGCAGAAUCAAGAUGUCGCAUUGGAGAUCUGGAAGAGUUGCUUCAGAAGGAGAAGGUAGAAUUUGAGGAAACAAAUCAUUUGAAGAUGGCAGUAGCAAAGAUAGUUGCUCAUCAGUAGAAAAAUCAGUUUCACGUUUCGCUCAAGAAUACCUUUUUGAAAAAGACAUAUCUCUUGUUCUCAAUAUCAAGAGGCCUUUGUUAGAGUGGAUAGCACGCUGCAUAGGUGCAGAAAUAAUUCCUUCUAUUGAUCAUCUUUCGGCUCAAAAGCCAGGUUAUUGUGAAGCAUUCCAUGUGAAGAAGUUCCUUGAAGCACAUGGAAGUGCUGGGCAGGGAGGAAAGAAAUUGGUGAAGACACUUACGUUCUUUGAAGGGUGCUCCUAGCCAUUGGGUUGUACUGUUCAGUAAGAUGGUCGCUUGCUUUCGAUAUUCAUCGAUUGUUGUUCACUCAGUAUACCUUCCACCCUCAAAACUUGAUUUCAGCUACUGAAAUCCAGAAUGGUUACGGAAAGAGGUCAAUCAGGUGUCUAUACAAAAAUAUAUGGAGGAGUCUGCAAGUGGUGCAGAGAAGCUUCCAAGCAAAGUGGUAAAGAUUCUCCCAGUGAUAAAAAGUGCAAGCUGGAUGGAAACGGUGAACAUGUGGAUUCCUUACCAAAUCAUGACACCACAGGGUCCGAGCCACAUCUUUUAUCAAUCUAAAGUUCAAAUGCCCCGGCUAAUCCUUUGGAGACUGAAAUACAUGUGGAACCUUGAUGCAGCAUGGACUAGUAAAAAGAUGCCAGGGAGCAAGAUACUGGAAAUUAAUGGUGAAGUGGCAGCAGAUUCAUUAACCAAAGGCAAAACUCAUAAGAAGAGGUUAAAGUUGGAAAAGCGUUUCGAAGACCUGGGUAUGGCUGAGGUCACUGAAUCUCAUCAUCCCGUGAAAGGGGCAGAUAACUCAGACGACAACAACACGGGUUGGAGUGGUUUAUGAUUCAUUGAAUCUUCUUCAGGCGUUUCAUUCUUUCCAGUCCACUCAAGGCGUUGCUUGUUAGAGUGGCAUUCAGUGACAAUGGUCCAUUUGGAAGGUGAAGAUCUGAGCUAGAUUUCGUAAGGUCCCUUAAUCUCACGGUGGUAAGAGCAACACCUAUUUUACUAAGUCACUGGACGAUCAGUUUAUCAUCAAAAGGUUAUCGAAGAGAGAAAUAUGGUCAUUUAUCAAGUUUGCAGCAGCGUAUUUAAAGUUGUUAUCUGAAUCAAUCGCAACAAGAUGCACAACUUGCCUGGCAAAGAUUUUGGGGUCUACCAGGGGGUACCUCGUUGGAUUUCAUCGUUCCCUUUUUCAAAUCCCAUGCACAGAGAGAACGCUGGACUGCAGCCCGGUGAUCCAUCUUGAUGAAACCUUUGUUGUUGCGGUCCCUAUCCAGAAUAUGAUUCAGCAAAUCAGGAAGCUGACCCUGCUCAAUAGUUGACGUGUUUGGCUUGGGCCUGGUAAUUUUGCGAUCCCCUGGUAUGUUCACGGUAUUAGCGAGGUAGUCUGAAGCGAAAUUCGCUUCUCUGGGCAUAGUUGAAAAUCUGAAGUGAUUCCUGUUCCAACGCCCGUUCGAAUUGGUUAUCAGUGCAUUGAUCCCCUGCAUUAUGUUCUGUACAACAUUAGAUAUUUCUUCUCAUAUAUAUCCAACUUUAUUAGUGCUUCCAUGUCAUUAAUGUGAGGUCGCAGUCUUUUAUCCUUCAAAAUUUUGAUGACAAAUAUGUUAUCUGUUGAUAUUUGCAAUGGCAACCAAUCUGGCGCAAU